GUAGGAGCCGGCUUGCUGGCGAUUCAUGCAACGCGGUGUGUCUGAAGUACCGCGUCGUAUUAAUCGCCAGCAAGCCGGCUCCUAC
rnacentral:misc_RNA from 1 species